rnacentral:lncRNA from 1 species
GUAAGUGCACAACUGCUCUUUUUUCAUUUGUUGCUUCUCUCUCGCUCUCUUUUUAAAUUUUUUUGGUGAGGAAGAUUGGCCCUGAGCUAACAUCCGUUGCCAAUCUUCCUCUUUUGCUUGGGGAAGAUUGUUGCUGAGGUAACGUCUGUGCCAUGCUUCCUCCAUUUUGUAUGUGGGACGCCACCACAGCAUGGCUUGAUGAGGGGUGUGUAGAUUUGUUCUUGGGGUCUGAACCUGUGAACCCCAGGCUGCCGAAGCAGAGCACAUGAACUUAACCACUACGUCACUGGGCUGGCCCCAUUUUUAUCACUUUAAGAUUGAGCAUUUUUGGCAAAUCGUUGGAAAAUUAAUACUGUGCAUUGCUCAUGUGUGGAUGUUUUCUGUCAGAAGAUUCCAUAGAUAAUUAAUAUGAGGAGGUAGACACUUAUUAGAAUUAUUAUUCAUAAAUACGUGAAAUAUACUUUUCCUACUAUCAAUAUUAUUUACCAUGAUGAUUCUAAAAUGUUUGAAAAAUCAAGUCACCCUAAUCUUAUUACCUCAUGGCAACCACCAGUAACAUUUUGGUUUAUAUUCUUAACAAUGUGUGUAUGUCUGUGUGUGUGUGUGUGUGUGUGUGUGUGUGUGUGUGUGUUUACAUACAUAUAACCAUAGUUGUCAUUGUAAAUAUACAAAUGUCAAACUCCUUUUUAUUUUUCAUUGCUGUGGAUACUGUAGGCAGUUUUCAUAAACAUCACUGUCAAAAAUUGGAUAACAUUACGCUGAAUGCAGAAAAUUAUUUAGCUGUUCUGGUAUUUGAUCUAAAGCUUAAAGUGUAAGAUCACUGGCCCGGGGUGAGUCAUACAUCUCCACCACUUACAAGCUUUACAACCUCAGGCUAUCUAUCUGAUUAUCCUCUCUGAGCCUUAGUCUCCACAAGUAAAAUGGGGACAGUCACAGCCUUUUUAUAGGGUUGAUCGUGAAGACUAGUGAGGUGGAGAUGACAUUUAUAAGUGCUCUAGCACGGUUCCUGACGUGUGGCCUAAAUAGUGUGCAACAAAUGCUCUUGUUCUCAUUAUGCAUUAUGCAUCCAGUUCUCCUCCACCAUAAACCAGGCUUCAAUGCACUUCCUGUGUGCUUUUCCAAGAUUGAGGAGUGUUUCUUUAGAACAGACUCCAGAAAUGCCAUGAUUGGAUCAGCAGCAGGGACUUUUGUAACAUUUGUGACUCCAGGGUCAUGUUUGGAAGGUGACCAUUCAAUAAUCGAUCCCAGGUGGAGUGCAGGCUCUGUGACCAGUAUCAGGGCAGAGCAAUGCCAUGAAUGUUUCAAUGCUCAGUAGGACCAAUGCCUCUAAGAUGCAUCUGCAGCAUCCUUAGUCGCCAUGCCCCUUGACCCUGAAUUACCUUGAGCAAUGUGCCAUGAUGGACAUGUUCUCUUUACCUGUCCGUCUCUUUAGGCAGGUCAAGGGCUCACGGCUGGUGCCUCAAUGGCCCAAAUGGUCCAAUUUUGCUUCCAAAUAUGUUGUGUUCUAUUGACACAGAGUGUAAAAAUGGCAUCUGAAUGUCUUCACAUUGGGCUCGGGCUCUCCCAUUCUCCACGGGCUCCACCUCUCCUUAUUUUCUUCUGUCAUAGGGCUCCUCCAUACAGCGGGGCUGUCCACGAAGCCCCUGUGACCCACAGGGCAAGGACUGUGUUCUCUUACCUGUGGAAUCCAGUGCUCAUCCUGGAGCUGGCACAUCAAAGGACUUCUAAGUAGGGCUGGCUGAAGACUCUGGGAGAACAUGGUCAUACUACACAUGCACACAGUUCUGACUUGCUCUGCGACCUUGGCCAGGCAUUUUGUCUCUCCACAUCUCAUUGCAUUCGGGCUGCAGAGAGGGGCGUGCUGUUGUCCUUGGUCUGGAUCGUCGAACACCUUUCUGACCUGGUCUCUCUGCAUCCAGCCUUGGUUCCUCCAAUGCACACAGUAGUCAGAGUGAGCUCCCCAAAUCUCAUUGACCGAGUCAUUUCCCUGCUACGAUCCCAGAGGACACAUAAUUAGAAAAUGGGGGAGGGGCCAAGGGGCUUCCAUUUGAUCUGUAGUGUUUUAUAUUUUCAGCUAGGUAGUGG